rnacentral:lncRNA from 1 species
GCCCCUGCCUGCGCUGAGGCUGCCGAGCCUGAGAAAUCCCAAAAGGGGCCUCGGCGGCGGGCUCUGGAUCCCGCUGGGGGGCUCUGACCCUGCCAAGUCUGGGCACUCCGCUGCGGGCCUCCUGGCUCCCGGGGUUCAUGGCUGUUAUGGUUCCUGGCUGUCGGGGCUCCUGGCUUUCGGGGCUCCCUGGCUGAAGGGGCUCCUGGCUGUAGGGGCUCCUGGCUAUGGAGGUUCCCGGUUAUAAGGGCUUCUGGAUGUAGUGGAUUCUGGCCGUCGAGGUCCCUGGCUGUCGGGGCUCCUGGCCGUAAUGGCCCCUGGCUGUCGGGACCCCUGGGUGUCGGGGUUCCUGGCUGUCGGGACCCCUGGGUGUCGGGGUUCCUGACUGUAGGGGCUCCUGGGUGUUAGGGUUCCUGGCUAUAGCAGGGGCUCCUGGGUGUCGGGGUUCCUUGCUGUCAGGGCUCCUGGUGGUAGAGGCUUCUUGCUGUUGGCUUCCUGGCUGUCGGGGUGACUGGGUGUCAGGGCUCCUGGUGUUAGGGUUCCUGGCUUCCUGGCUGUAGUAGGGGCUCCUGGGUGUCGGGGUUCCUUGCUGUCAGGGCUCCUGGUGGUAGAGGCUUCUGGCUGUUGGGGUUCCUGGGUGCCAGGGCUCCUGGGUGUCAGGGUUCCUGGCUGUCAGGACACCUGACUCCUGAGGCUCCUGGCUUUUGGGGCUCCAGACCUUCCUUGCACUUCCUGUGUCUCCUGGGUCUGUAAUAGAAGGGGCCGGUGGAGGGGUGGGGGUGAGACAUGUGAGUGAAAGUGAAGUCAGAUGUGUACAUUUAGGAAGCUGAAAUUAUCAAAAAUGAAAUUGCAUAAAGAACUGACUGGGAGAACCCAGCAAGGCUGGUCUGGUGUUCAGAUUCUUCCUGGCCUCUGUGCAGCCUCCUUCCUUCUGGGUAAAGGAGCAAGACCCUCUGUGGAAUGAGGUCUUAUGAACUACACUCAAGCAAGAAGUAUGUCUUAUCUGAUGGCUUCACAGUAAUCUGGUUUCCCCUAAGAAGCUAAGACUAUCUGGGCUAUUUGAGAUCCUGCAAGAUUUAUCAAGACUGUACUAGCCAUAUGAAAGCAUGUUAACACAGGGAGGGAGAGAGGAAAAGCCCUCCACAUGUUAUGACUGGCAUACAUGCUUCCAAAGCAUCGUUACUAACCGAAGGCCCAGUUCCUGAGGCGAUCACCCCAGACACACUGAAUGCAAUUUGUUGGUCACUGAGUGGGUAUACCUAAUCACCACAGAUGUUUACAUGCAGCUGCAUUUUCUCUCCGUUUGAGUCACAAUGUUUUAUAUGUAAAUAGUAUUGUGUGCAUGUGUGUGCAUAUGUGUAUUUAUCCUCCAAGUCCAGAUGGAGUUAAUUUUCUGCUGUUAUUUGUAGUUCAUGUUUCAUAUCUAAGAAACUAAGGACCCAGAUGAGCUUUCCUUGGUGUCACAAACUUUUUUUUUUUUUUUUUAAUAGAGAUGAGGUCUCACUAUAUUGCCCAGGCUGGUCUCCAACUCCUGAGCUCAAGUGAUCUUCCUGCCUUAGCCUCUCCAAGUGCUGGGAUUACAGAUGUGAGCCACUGCACCUGGCCAACAAACUUCUGAUUCUUAUAGAAUCAGAUGUAAUUCCUUAGAGACCUGAGAAGUUCUAUACUCAGGUUCUUUCGUGCCGUCUGACUCCAAGAGCUCUUGCCUGAAGGAGGUCCCUUCCAGGACACUGAGUCCCAACCCACACCACCUCCUUGGAGGGCGUGUGCCCUCUCUUCCGCUGACCUUGACAUUCUUGCACAGGCUGCUUGUGCACAGAGGCAUCACCUCCCAGAGGGGACCUCUGGAGUGGCCCCAGGUACCAGGUACAGUCAGCCGCUUCUACCUGUGGAAGGCGAUCAGGGUAGAAAGCUCUGGGAAGCACUAAAAAUACACACAACCCUUACAAACACAACUCGGUGAUACAUGCUAAUAGUUCUGGACUCCAAACUGGGGCCAAAGCACAGACUCCACAGCUAGUUCUAGCAUGUAGCAGAUGUCACCCAACCUGGAAAGCUACUUGGUUGAAACUUAGUUAAAUCCGUGGCCACAGCAGUUUUAUACUUGACCUGAGUCCUCCAAUGUCUGCCACACCUGCAGUGGCUUCCUUCCCAUUCUCUCUCUCCUCUAAAAUACAAGAGGCAUUUCCCCCCAGUGCAGGAAGAUGGAACAGACUAUUUUGGUUAAUCAUCUACAUUUGUGUUCUUGAGUUUCUUCUGGAGUUGUCCAGCCUGGGGCUGCAUGCACAUUGGCCCACCACAAAUGCCUCCCUCUGCGGAGAGUGAGGUGGGCCGGUCGGGGCAGAACGCCUGCUUCUCAAUGCACCCCUUGCUCACUCAGCUCUGGGAGCCCCCCUGCCAGCGUGCCCGAGAGCUACUCUAAAUGAAGUUCGAGCUCCAUUUCAGGAAGGUGGUGAGACAAUAAAAUAACCCAGGAUGACGUGAACAGUUUUGCAUUUGCUUCAAACUCUGAAAGGAUUCAUGGUUCCCACGGCCUCCAGACUGGAUGGACCACUUUGGGUUUCAAUGGCAGGAUGAUUUUUCUGUAAAACAAUGGCUGGCUUUAAAUUUCUUCUUCUAGAACAAACCAAAAAAGAAAAGAAAAAACAAACCACUAAUUCUUAAGGAUGCAUAGGCCCCAGUUGCCUGAUGGUAUGUAGAAAGAAAGAAAGAAAUACAGCGGUAAUGUUCUGGUGAGGGAGCUAGUUUCCUAGGAGUCAAGUAGAAGUUUGCUGUUGACUCCAUGAUUAGCCUACGUCUGAGGUUGUAUCUAUUACUUGCCCAUCAUAUGAAAUAUGCUUUAAUCAAAAGAAACAUCUUAUUGAAACACUCCAUGCCAACAUUACCUUCAGACUUUGCCACCAUAACAUAUACGUUCUUUUUCCAGUUUGCCGCUGGUUGAAAUGACUAAGUGGAAACGGGAGAUGCAGGAAGAAAGUCACCCUCCUAUGAUGAGAGACGGAUGUGUGGGGCCCUAAUGAGGAACCCUUUACUCCAUGAAACCGAGGGAAAGAGCUGCGCUGAGCCACGUCUGGCUGACUCUGCACAGACAAAACGGGGCAGCUCUGCUGGCCACCAAGCCCAUCAGCAGCCAGGAGAACAGCACAAGAAAAACCCACCCCCAUGACUUGAUUACCUCCCACAACACGUGGGAAUCAUGGGAGCUACAAUUCAAGAAGAGAUUUGGGUGGAGACACAGCCAAACCACGUCACCAGACUGCCUCUUCAGGGAGUGAAUCACAAAUGUAUUCCUGACCACCCUGUUUUCUCCCCUCUUGAAUCAGAGAUGGGGGUCGCCUAUAUUUCCAAGGCUGGUCUCCAACGCCUGGGCUCAAAAGAUCCUCUGCCUUGGCCUCUCAAAGUGCUGGGAUUACAGGUGAGCACCACCAUGCCUGGCCUAAAAUGUUCUUUUUUUAAGAGAUAGCUGUAACAAUCUUUAACUAUUUAGCAAUCCUUUUUUGGGGGAAAGGUUGUCUCUUGUUUGUCAGCAAAUGUAGUAUGUGAGUUUACAUGUCUUUGCUUUCAUUGUAUAAUUUCAAAUAGUCAGAAAAUAUUGCAUUCACUGGCAAUCAAUUUAUUUUGAUUGAUAAAAAGGGGUUAAUAAAAACCCCCUUAGAAAUAAAAAGAAGGUGAAUAGUAAUAUAUCAGUCAUGGUGCCUUCUUUCUGCUAUGCAUAAAGAAAACAAGCUUUUUUACUUCUCCCCAAUAAGUCUUCUCCCCUUAUUUUCUACACCUAUGGAGUCAUUUAUAAUCUUUAUUAUUUCCAACCACACACUAACAUGGCAUCAGUCAUAUUUCCACAUGCUGGGGGUUUUUUUUUUUUCCUUACUAUGUUGUGAGAACUGAAAGGCAAAAAUGUCCUAUAAUUUAUAUGAAAAUACAUGUCCAAAAUGGAUUAUCAGACAUAACUGAUGUGACUUCAUACACUUGAAAAUAAAAAAACUUAGGAUGAAAUAUAAAACAUCAUGGUAAAAUUUCAAUCUAUUGUUGAAAUAAAACAUGACUUAGAAAGGACACUGGUGUGUGGCAUUUAACAAACAUUGUCAAGCUCUUAGAAGCAGGGGUAGGUUAAGAUGGGAGAUAGUACUUUCCAUUCAAACAUAAAACUAUUGACUUUGGAAGGUACAUUUGUGGUUUAUUAAUAUUUUUAUUUAUCAACAGCACCUUUGAAGAAAAUGCAAAAUGACUAUAAAAUUCUUACCUUCUGUAUAUAGCGAGUGUUUAGAGUACCAUUGUGAGACAGACUUGGGCAUAUACGUUAUACAGUGUCAUAUAGAUCUCUAAUUUGCACUGGUCAUAAAGUCUUUU